AUUCUUGCACGGGCAGAAACGACCCGUGACUUGG
rnacentral:rRNA from 1 species